AAAGAUUAAGCCAUGCAUGUCUAAGUAUAAGCAAUUAUACAGCGAAACUGCGAAUGGCUCAUUAUAUAAGUUAUCGUUUAUUUGAUAGUGCCUUACUACUUGGAUAACCGUGGUAAUUCUAGAGCUAAUACAUGCUACAAGCCCUGACUUCGGAAGGGGCGUAUUUAUUAGAUUAAAAACCAAUGCCCUCUGGGCUCCUUGGUGAAUCAUGAUAACUUCACGAAUCGCACGGCCUUGCGCCGGCGAUGGCUCAUUCAAAUUUCUUCCCUAUCAACUUUCGAUGUUUGGGUAGUGGCCAAACAUGGUUGCAACGGGUAACGGAGGGUUAGGGCUCGACCCCGGAGAAGGAGCCUGAGAAACGGCUACUACAUCCAAGGAAGGCAGCAGGCGCGCAAAUUACCCAAUCCCGAUUCGGGGAGGUAGUGACAAUAAAUACUGAUACAGGGCUCUUUCGGGUCUUGUAAUCGGAAUGAGUACAAUUUAAAUCCCUUAACGAGGAACAAUUGGAGGGCAAGUCUGGUGCCAGCAGCCGCGGUAAUUCCAGCUCCAAUAGCGUAUAUUAAAGUUGUUGUGGUUAAAAAGCUCGUAGUUGAACCUUGGGCCUGGCUGGCCGGUCCGCCUCACCGCGUGUACUGGUCCGGCCGGGCCUUUCCCUCUGUGGAACCUCAUGCCCUUCACUGGGUGUGCUGGGGAAACAGGACUUUUACUUUGAAAAAAUUAGAGUGCUCCAGGCAGGCCUAUGCUCGAAUACAUUAGCAUGGAAUAAUAAAAUAGGACGUGCGGUUCUAUUUUGUUGGUUUCUAGGACCGCCGUAAUGAUUAAUAGGGACAGUCGGGGGCAUCAGUAUUCAAUUGUCAGAGGUGAAAUUCUUGGAUUUAUUGAAGACUAACUACUGCGAAAGCAUUUGCCAAGGAUGUUUUCAUUAAUCAGGAACGAAAGUUAGGGGAUCGAAAACGAUCAGAUACCGUUGUAGUCUUAACCAUAAACUAUGCCGACUAGGGAUCGGACGAUGUUAUUUUUUGACUCGUUCGGCACCUUACGAGAAAUCAAAGUGCUUGGGCUCCAGGGGGAGUAUGGUCGCAAGGCUGA
rnacentral:rRNA from 1 species